CAGAACAAUGUGAGAGACGGAUAAAUUGUCGUGAUUUCGAGAUCGAAGAACUAACGAGAAGAAGAAGUCCCGGAAUGUAAUCAACUUGGACAGGUAAAGAGAUUGCAGCCAUACAUAAACAUGUGCAGGCUUAGCAAUGCAAACAUACUGAAAACAGGAUAGACAACAUCCAUAUAAGAAACUUCAUUUGGACCAGAGAAGACGCCAGACAAAUGAGCCAACGAUGCGUAUACAAUGAACAACGACAUGAAGCAACCCGUAAAUAACCCUGAAACCAACGAACGAUUCGAGAGUUCAAAAGGCAUACCUUAUCGGAGCUGAUAAAGGCCGACUUUUUCACUCCUUGAAGAUAGCUCGCCGACGCCUUUUGGUUCGCCACCUGUUCCACCAAAAACACCUAAAUUAUCAUAAUUUUUUUUUUAAUUAUGUGAUGUCCUACCUUAGUUGGUUGGUUCGGAGAACAAAACACCAUUUAUAAGGGUUGUGAAAACCUUCUUCUAGCAUAUGCGUUUUAAAGCUUUGAGGGAAAAAUCCGACCAAAGAAGACAAUAUCCGCUAGCGGUGUGCCUAAGUGGUUACCUUGUCGAAUUUUUUAAGGAUCUUGACGAAGGCCUUCAUGUUGAGCCAGCUGCCACACAGAAAUCAAACCAUGAGCUCUGUUUUUUGCC